UACGGGGGGGGUAAGCGUUGUUCGGAAUUACUGGGCGUAAAGGGCUCGUAGGCGGCCAACUAAGUCAGGCGUGAAAUCCCUCAGCUUAACUGGGGAACUGCGUCUGAUACUGGAUGGCUUGGAUUCGGGAGAGGAAUGCGGAAUUCCAGGUGUAGCGGUGAAAUGCGUAGAUAUCUGGAGGAACACCGGUGGCGAAGGCGGCGUUCUGGACUGUAACUGACACUGAGGAACGAAAGCCAGGGGAGCAAACGGG
rnacentral:rRNA from 1 species